rnacentral:lncRNA from 1 species
AAUUUGGCAAAAAAUUUAUCAUCUGUAAAAGAAGUAACAGCAGAAAGACUCGGCCACUUUGCAAUCAGAUUCCUACUUUCCAGAAGCCUCAGAAUUUGCAGCCGCGGCUCAAGCCUCAUUUCGAUGCUGCACCCGAGCACUGACGGGCAAGUGACAAUGCUGGACAUAUUGUACUUGCUGGUAGCAACCAGAAGAUCUAUCACAUUCUUAAUUUUAUUUCCAGAAACCCCAAAAACUGUUGGUUGCUUCCUAAGAAUCACGAACAUGUCAUUAUCAGAAAAUCCCAAAUUGCGGAGACUUUGCCACUUCACUUCCCACAUCCUCUUACUCUUAAGGGCAAAUAAACCAACAAGAAAAAUGAAAUUGACAGAAGCCUUAGAUGCCCCAAUUUCUAUGGCCUUGUCUACAGAUUUCCUCAUAAUAUGAGGCUUCACCAAGAAGCAUCUCGGCCGAAUAUAGAGGAAGUGUUGGAUACGCUCCAUAGGUAUACCGCAGCUCUUGAGGAUUUCCACAUUCGGCAUUAAGGAUUCAUCCAAAUCUGUUGUCAAAAACCAGGCAGAUCUUUUCAAAAGUCUGGCCACUUCAUGACCAGAUUCGAGGAAAUCUUUGAGCUUGGAUAAUGAAGGAAUGAUCCUAUUCUUCGUGCUUGAACGUAACAUCGAAAUAUGACUGAAAAUUAUUUGGGCAAUCUCCUCGGGAGAAAGGCCCAAGUCUUGGAAUACGUUGAAUUUGAAUCUGAUGCGCUCAAUUCUAAACCCUAGAAUCGGAGGAUAAUAGAUGACGAUUUUCUCGAGCUGAGUAGUCGUAAAGCUAUUCUCUUUGAAGAAGGAUAAUACUGAAUCGGCUCUUUUAGGGCAUCUAGAUUUGGGGGAACGUGAUGCAGCUAGUGAAGCCGAUUCGGGAGAGAAGUGGUGUUUGUUGACCAAUACAUCGUAGAUUUUAAGGUUAGGGAUCUGUCUUUCCACUUUCGAAGUGGAGAAGAAUUGGAAUGCGGGAAAGAAAUGAAGAUUUGAGUUGCUGAGAAAUGAAUUAGGGUUCAAACGUAAACAGGAGAGGUUCUUGCGUGCAAUUGCAAUCAUGUUGAUUGAUAUAAAUAGAAUGUGUGUUCGGAAAUGAAAGGGACUUGCCUGCAAAAUCAAAGACUCAAAGCUUGUCGAUUGAGGGUUUUUGAACCAGCGCCGUCGCCAUGGCAGGGAGGGAAGAAGCUUUAGUUUCAAUAGUCCAACAGAUUCAUUUUUGCUUAAAGUUGCUGAAAAUAAAUCAUUUUUCGGAAAUUUGUGAUAGUUUCCAAAAAUACACGAUGGAUUAAUUUAGUGAGAAUAUACUGUAUAAAAUUAACCUAAAAAUGAAGUAAAUGUUAGUCAAAAAAGAGAAAUUCUCCUAUUUUUCAGAGAUUUUUUUCCCCCUGGUAUUCUAAGUUUGAAAAAGAAAAUGGAAAAGCUAUUUGGCCAUGGUUGACCUAUAAAAUCUAUGUAUUUAAUUUUUUAUAUUUAAAAUAAAAUUAGGAUUUAGUUAGUGUUAUUUUUUACACAUUGUAGCUAAUUUUUUUUAAUAUUUUUUAUAAAUAUUUUACUUAAACAAAAUUAAAAAAUAAAAAAUUGCAAUGUGUACAAAAUAAUAUGAGUUGAUAUUGGAAAUAGUCAUUUUGAGGAAAGAAACAUAAUAUUUGGUCAGUAAUUGAAAAAACAUAAAAUCUGGACAUUUAUGACCUAUAAAGACUGUUUUGCCCUUAAUUAUGGUGGACUGGAUUUAGGUCGAAUUCGGGGUUGCGCGGGUUAGGUACGUGCCAACCGAAAAAAAAAUAUACUCUUAUGACACUAAUGACACUAAUAUGACCAUAAGUAUCAUUCGUGCAUCACCCUAAAUGGAUAAUCUAAAGGGGUUAUGACUAAAAAAUACACGAACUUUGAAAAAGUUACAAUUUGUACUUGAACUCUUAAUUAAGCCCAAAAAUAUAUGAAUUUAUAUUUUUGUUGCAAUUUUUCACCUUAAGUUUUGACUUUUACAAUAAAAUUAGAGCUUAAUUGACAAUCGGAAAUUCAUUUGAUGUUGGUCUAACUUGUGAUGAUGAUGAGUAUUUAGAAGCUCGGAGGUCUAAGAAGACAAAAAUUAAUAUAUGUGAUUUAAUUUUGACUGUCAAUUAAGCUCCAAUUUUGUCGAAAGUCAAACUUAGGUGAAAAUUGCAACAAGAAAUAUAAAUUCAUGUAUUUUGGGGGCUUAAUUGAAAGUUCAGGUGAAAAUUGUAAAUUUUUUCAAAGUUCAUGUAUUUUUUUGCCAUAACCCCUAAUCUAAAUUCUAAAUGGAUAAUCUAAACCUUACGGGAAGUGUUCAAAAUGAUCAUAUAAUUGUAAUAAUCUAUAUAAGACAAGACAAUGUAUCAACGCAAGUAUAUGAUACUAAUGACACUAAUAGUGCCAUCAUAUAUACCAAUUUACUUAGAUUUUUUUUUUCGGUUGGCAAUAAUACCAUAUGUGCCUAAGCCGCGCGCAAACUCGAAUCCAGUCCACCCUAAUUAAGAGCAAAACAAUCCUAAAACGUAAAAAAUUGCCAGAUUUUGUGUUUUUUCGAUUAGUAGCUAGUAUUAUGUUUGAAUCUUCAAUAUGAUCAUCUGACACUAUAUUCUCAAAUAAUAAAACUAGCAGCAUUCUAUUUUUAUAUUGAACAAAAUAUUUAAAUACAUAAAUUUAAAGUUACUAUGAUUAGUGAUGUCCAUGGCUAACUGAAAUCGGGUGAAUUGGCAUGUGGUCAACGGUUCGGAUCUCCGAAUCAUUGAUCACAGGCUAAAACUGAAAUCGGAAUCGAAAUCGUGAAACACUUGGUCAAGUUCCGGACCCAAAAAUCUAGAACCAAAGACCAAUGAUUAACCGUUGGGUCGAAAAUUGUCGGUUAACUAUCCAAAGAAUAGUGUGGAUGAAAUCAAUUGAGUAUUGUUAUUUUUUAGAAUUAUACUAAUAAUUCUUUUGCUUGAAAUCAAAAUAGUGUACAUGAAAAAAUAGUGUACAAAAAUAGUGUGCAUGAAAUCUAUCGAGUAAUGUUGGCAACUCUUGAAAUUUUUGUUAUGUUUUAAGAAUUGAUUUUGAGAUAAUAUGUUACAUUGUAUUAUUAUUUUUAUUGGUUAUGUAACUACGUUGCUUAAGUCGGAACUAUAUGUUGUUGAUAUUGAUUUUGUUGAUAUCGAAUUAAAUUUGAAUUUUGCAAUUUACAAUUGGGUUAUGCAAUUAUUUUGUUGCAUAUAAGCCUGUCCUUUUUUGUGAGAUUUAUUGCUAUUAAUGUUUCUUCAGAAAUGAUGAUGAAGCGCAAUCCGUUGAUAAGACACUUCUCCUCCAAUUAAGAGGUCGGGGGUUGAGUCCCUAAAAGCUAGAGUGUGAGGUGUUUUUACUUUCUUUAAGUGUAACAAUUUUUUAUUAAAAAAGUGUUUCUUCGGAAAUCAGCACAUAUUAUAUUAUAUGCUUAAUUGUUAAGAAGACAUUGUUAAGAAGAUUGCUUUGAUAUUUCUAGCCCUAAGCUAAGUGUAACAUAGCUCUAUAUCAUUAUGUCUCUCAUAAUUGGUACCCCUGGUACCAACAUUGCUUUUUAAUAUUAUUAACUUUUCUGAUAAAAAAAAAUAUAGUAUAUCAUUAUGUCUCUCGUCAAAUAUAAUCCAACGACAAUCAAAUGUGAAUUUUUAUAAAUGAAAGCAGGAUAUGUUUUUCCUGCAAUAACGAAAUCCAAAUAGAUGGAACUAUAAUCCAUCGAAUAUAUAAGAAGAUUUGUCAAUAACUUGCACAACUUCUCAAUAGUUCCUGCAAUAAUACAAACUAGACCAACUCCAAAUAAGACUAUAAACUACGCUUAGGCGAGACUCGAUGUGAUGCCUCAGCUUUGCAGAUUUUGGGCAAGGCCUCAUUGGCGGACAAAAUGAAACACUACCUAAAGAGGCAACACCAGUUUUUUCUAAUCUCAUGACGAGCAGUCACAACAAGAAUACGAACAUGCUUCCAAAUGUCACAAUUCUCAGCACAAAAGCAAUACAAGGCUAAAAUCUACAAGAGUGAUUAAAUAAGCUGGAUAUCUGUAUAUAAUGAGCAUACCAGUUCCUCAAUCAUCAGCUUAAAGCUUCAACGCCUUUGGCCCUCGACAUGUAUCUCCGAGUGAUGUGUUCUUCGCCAAUCUCAUCAUAAUAAGGCCUAAUAAAUUUGUCCAAAAAAUUAUCAUCUGUAAAAGAAGUAACAGUAGAAAGACACGGCCACUUUGCAAUCAGAUUCCUACUUUCCAGAAGCCACAGAAUUUGCAGCCGCGGCUCAAGCCUCUUCUCUAUACUGCACCCGAGUGCUGACGGGCAAGUGACAAUGCUGGACAUAUCGUACUUCCCGGUAGCAAGCAGAAGCUCUAUCACAUUCUUAAUUUUAUUUCCAGAAGUCGAAAAGACUGUUGGUUGCUUCCUAAGAAUCACGAACAUGUCAUUAUCAGAAAAUCCCAGAUCGCGGAGAGUUUGCAACUUGACCUCCCACAUCCUCUUACUCUUAAGAGCAAAUAAACAAACACAAAAAAUGAAAUUGAUAGAAGCCUUAGAUGCCCCAAUUUCUAUGGCCUUGUCUACAGAUUUCCUCAUAAUAUGUGGCUUCACCAAGAAACAUUUGGCUGAAGAAAGAGAAAGUGUUGGAUACGCUCCAUAGGUAUACCGCAGCUCUUGAGGAUUUCCACAUUCGGCAUUAAGGAUUUCUCCAAAUCCGCUCUCAAAAACCAGGCAAAUCUUUUUAAAAGUCGGACCACAUCAUGACCAGGUUCAAGGACAUCUUGGAGCUUGGAUAUUGAAGGAAU